rnacentral:rRNA from 1 species
GACGAACGCUGGCGGCGUGCUUAACACAUGCAAGUCGAACGAUGAAGAAAAGAAUCGAAGCUUCGGCAGAAAUUCAUUUCGGAUUAGUGGCAGACGGGUGAGUAACGCGUGAGCAACCUACCUCUUACAAAGGGAUAGCCUCGGGAAACCGGGAUUAAUACCAUAUAACAUUGUGACGAAGCAUUUCGAUGCAAUCAAAGCUACGGCGGUAAGAGAUGGGCUCGCGUCCCAUUAACCGGAUGGUGAGGUAACGGCUCACCAUAGUGACGAUGGGUAACCGGCGGGAGAGGGGGAACGGUACCAGUGGAACGGAGACCCGGCCCAGACUCCUACGGGAGGCAGAAGGGGGGAAUAUUGCAAAAGGGAGGGACCUCGGAUGAAGCGCGGCCGGGGGAGUAAUAAAGAAAUUCUUUUCGAAAAACUUUUUUUUAUGGAAAGAAAAGGACUGUACCAAAGGAGAAGGCUCCGGCUAAAUACGUG